CGCGUAGGCGGUUACUUAAGUCGGAUGUGAAAGCCCUCGGCUUAACUGAGGAAGUGCAUCCGAAACUGAGUAGCUAGAGUACGAAAGAGGGUCGCGGAAUUCCCGGUGUAGAGGUGAAAUUCGUAGAUAUCGGGAGGAACACCGGUGGCGAAGGCGGCGACCUGGGUCGAGACUGACGCUGAGGCGCGAAAGCGUGGGGAGCAAACA
rnacentral:rRNA from 1 species